CUCCGACUCCGACUCCAGCUCCAGCAGCAGCUGCUGCUGCUACCCCUCGUCUCACAGAAACCAUCCAAGCGAACAAACAGUACAUACAGGACCAGCUCCGAAAAUCGGGGGCCGUACUCUUCAGGGGGUUUCCUGUAAAUACGGCCUCGGACUUCAACGACGUCGUGGAGGCCUUCGGCUACGAAGAGAAUCCUUACGUUGGAACUUGGAACUGCUCCUCGGACCAAGAUCGUGGGUCGGGUUUUUACCGCCAACGAGGCCCCACCAGAUGUCAAAAUUCCAUUUCACCACGAAAUGGCUUUGGUAAGUGGCAACUAUAUAGUGCAUUUCAUUACUUUUCUAUAACUAACCAGAGGGGGAAGAGUCCUAAAUUAUUACUAUAAUUAAGGUUAGAAACUCAAAAUCCUAUUCAUUAGGAUAUUGAACCACAUAUAAGAUAUAUAAUACAGGAUCAUAACAAUAGUUAAACCAUUUUGUAGAAUUUCUUCAUUCAAACACACCCUCUAUAUGUGUGUGUGUGUAUAUAUUUAUUUAUUUUUUAAUUAACAUCCUAUAUAUGUAUAACGUUAUUUCAAGUUGCAGAACGUGUUGUUUUUAUUUGUUUUCCUUGUGUGAUGCUUAUGACGUGUCGUUCAGUAUCCAGAGUACCCAUCCAAACUGUUAUUCUUUUGUGAAGUAGAGCCUGUAAGUGGGGGUGAAACUCCCAUUGUUCUAAGCCACAUUGUGUACGAGAGGAUGAAAAACAAACACCCGCAAUUUGUUCAAAAAUUGGAGGACCAUGGAUUGAUAUAUACCAAGAUUAUAGGCCACCACGACGACCCUUCUUCCGCGAUAGGCCGUGGCUGGAAGGCCACAUUUGCGACCGAAGAUAAGAACAUAGUUGAACAAAGGUAUUUAUUUGUACUACUACAUACUGAAAAGAUGACUAUGAUAAGACGGUUACAUAACGAUAGGACUACAUAUUGGCAGGGUUUCUAAGGAGGGGUUUAGGUUGGAAUGGUUGGAUAAUGGAGGAGUGAAAACAAUCAAGGGACCGAUCCUGGGCAUCAAAUGUGACAGCAGCACAGGGCAGCGCAAGACUUGGUUUAACAGCAUCGUGAUAGCAUAUACAGAGUGGAAAGGAGAUGCAAGAAAUGACCCUGAGAAGGUUGUCACAUUCGGGGAUGGCAGCCCGUUGGCAGCGGAUAUCAUCUACGACUGCCAGAAAAUUCUUGAAGUUGAAAGUGUGGCCAUCCCUUGGCGCAAAGGUGAUGUUUUGCUGCUGGACAAUUUGGCCAUUCUUCACUCCCGGAAUCCAUGUACUACACCUCGCAGAGUCCUUGCCGCCCUCUGCAAGUAGACUAGCUAAUCAGCUGUAUUAAACAACUAAUCAUAUGUGUCCUCAUAUGUAUCUAUAUUAUAGUAUGCCUUGUUUACAGAAUUUGUGAAAUAAAAAGCAAGAGUUGAGUUGUUGUGUUAGAACUUGGACUUGUUUGGUUGCCAAGAAAAAGGCAAAAGUAAGAAGAACCCUAUAUGAUUGCUUUGUGUAUCUUUCUUUUCUGCCCCUUUUAACCUUUUUUCUGGAGGUGUAAGAUAAUCCCACAAGAUGAACCCGUCAUUCCUCUUUAAUUGCAAAUAGUUUUUCUAUCAAAGUUUGAUUUGUAUGCAGAGAGAUUUAUUUCGAAUAAGGGUAAAAAUGGAAGUAUGAGGACAUGAAUGGAAUUUUAAAAAAAGGGUUGUCUUCUCCAAGGUAACUAGGGUUGCUAUUUACAUAAUUUUGUGUCUGAUCUGGAAGCAAUAAUUAAUCUCUGUCCCAUGUUACACGAUCGUACCUAACAUGAAUAUUAUAUAAUACCGGGAUCCUCUCCUGAGCAGUUCCCUAGGGAUCCUAGAGAUCCCGCAAUCAUGUCCGUUCAUCGUAUAUCGUGCGGUCAAAAAUUCUUUAAAAUUUAAAUUUUAAAAUUCAAAUAUGAAUAGUAUCUAACGAAAACUGACAUCACGAUAUAAAAUGAACGGACAAGAUUGAGGGAUCCCUAAAGAACUGCUCAGGAGAGGAUCCUCGUUCUAUUAUAUAAACCACAAACGAUUAAAGUAUGGCAGCAAAACAAUGACGGCUUGUUUUAUUAAUAUCUCACAUUUGUUAAUUGCACUCCACAUAUUUAAUACAUUUUAUAUUUACUUUUUAAAUUAAAAUUUUUCUUAACACACCCCAUGUAUUUUCCAAUACUACCCUCACACCUCACACCUCAUAUCUCAUACACCCCACAUCUCACAUCAUCAACUAAUUAACCACACAUCAACCUCUUCAUCUCUUUCAAACAAAAGAAUAAUCCACAUUUUAAAGACAAUAAAGAUGAAUUAAAUUGUUGUAUAAAAUCUCCAUUUGCCGUUUGAUUUAUAAACAUCCGUCAAAUUUUCUUAAACAAUCAUGUUGGAUUCUAAGAAGCCAGAUGGACAAAUGGUAGGAAAUGUUCUUAUAAGGUCAUGUCAGUUCCAACCAGCCAAAAAAACAUUGAAUUUCUUCAUCAUCAAACAGCCACAAGAAUAUUACAUUUAAUUACAUCUUAAAAUUUUCAACAUUCUCUAGUUUUCUUCCUAUUUCUUGGAUUCCAAUUAGAGCAGGGCUUCGCAAAAAGAAAUUUUUAUUCCAUUAUUUAAAUAAUUUUUUUAAUGUGAAAACCAAUGAAUGAACGAGGAGCAGAACUCGAUUUUUUGUUCCAUUCAUCAAAAGAUAUAUUUUCAUUAACUUGUUUGUAUUUUUAGGGUUUUGUGUAAGAGAGGGUUUGAAUAUUCAUUUCAUAUUAGAGUUACAAGUUGUUUAGUAUUACAAUUUUUAAAUGGGAUGUAUUUAACAUGUGGGGUGUGUUAAUAAAAAAUGAGGUGGAUUGUCUGCCCUCCCAUUUCCAUAUACUCUUUUCAUCCCCUACUGUUUGUGUGGUCACAGUUAAGCCACGUCAAUAUUUUAUAUUGAUUUUUUUAUAAAAAUAAUAAAACAAAAAGUAAUAGGAAUAUAAAAUGUUAACGUAACUUAACCGUGACCAUAUAAAACAGUAGGAGAUGAUAAUAGUAUAAAAAUGGGACGGCAGACAAUCCACAUCCAAUAAAAAAAAACCAACAAUAAUUACAAAGAAGACUCUUGAAGCAGCAGCUAACAACAGAGACGGAGACAGCAUGGCAUUGACAAUGGUGGAGAUCCCAGAGCAAAAGCUUUACGACGGAAAUCGAUUCCCGGCAGUUAUAUCUCCGACUCCGACUCCAGCAGCAGCUGCUACUCCUCGUCUCACAGAAACCAUCCAAGCGAACAAACAGUACAUACAGGACCAGCUCCUAAAAUCCGGGGCCGUACUCUUCAGGGGGUUUCCUGUAAAUACAGCCUCGGACUUCAACGACGUCGUGGAGGCCUUCGGCUACGAAGAGAAUCCUUACGUUGGAACUGCUCCUCGGAC
rnacentral:lncRNA from 1 species